UAAGUACCCCGAGGAAAAGAAAUCAACCGAGAUUCCCCCAGUAGCGGCGAGCGAACGGGGAGCAGCCCAGAGCCUGAAUCAGUGUGUGUGUUAGUGGAAGCGUCUGGAAAGGCGCGCGAUACAGGGUGACAGCCCCGUACACAAAAAUGCACAUGCUGUGAGCUCGAUGAGUAGGGCGGGACACGUGGUAUCCUGUCUGAAUAUGGGGGGACCAUCCUCCAAGGCUAAAUACUCCUGACUGACCGAUAGUGAACCAGUACCGUGAGGGAAAGGCGAAAAGAACCCCGGCGAGGGGAGUGAAAAAGAACCUGAAACCGUGUACGUACAAGCAGUGGGAGCACGCUUAGGCGUGUGACUGCGUACCUUUUGUAUAAUGGGUCAGCGACUUAUAUUCUGUAGCAAGGUUAACCGAAUAGGGGAGCCGAAGGGAAACCGAGUCUUAACUGGGCGUUAAGUUGCAGGGUAUAGACCCGAAACCCGGUGAUCUAGCCAUGGGCAGGUUGAAGGUUGGGUAACACUAACUGGAGGACCGAACCGACUAAUGUUGAAAAAUUAGCGGAUGACUUGUGGCUGGGGGUGAAAGGCCAAUCAAACCGGGAGAUAGCUGGUUCUCCCCGAAAGCUAUUUAGGUAGCGCCUCGUGAAUUCAUCUCCGGGGGUAGAGCACUGUUUCGGCAAGGGGGUCAUCCCGACUUACCAACCCGAUGCAAACUGCGAAUACCGGAGAAUGUUAUCACGGGAGACACACGGCGGGUGCUAACGUCCGUCGUGAAGAGGGAAACAACCCAGACCGCCAGCUAAGGUCCCAAAGUCAUGGUUAAGUGGGAAACGAUGUGGGAAGGCCCAGACAGCCAGGAUGUUGGCUUAGAAGCAGCCAUCAUUUAAAGAAAGCGUAAUAGCUCACUGGUCGAGUCGGCCUGCGCGGAAGAUGUAACGGGGCUAAACCAUGCACCGAAGCUGCGGCAGCGACACUAUGUGUUGUUGGGUAGGGGAGCGUUCUGUAAGCCUGCGAAGGUGUGCUGUGAGGCAUGCUGGAGGUAUCAGAAGUGCGAAUGCUGACAUAAGUAACGAUAAAGCGGGUGAAAAGCCCGCUCGCCGGAAGACCAAGGGUUCCUGUCCAACGUUAAUCGGGGCAGGGUGAGUCGACCCCUAAGGCGAGGCCGAAAGGCGUAGUCGAUGGGAAACAGGUUAAUAUUCCUGUACUUGGUGUUACUGCGAAGGGGGGACGGAGAAGGCUAUGUUGGCCGGGCGACGGUUGUCCCGGUUUAAGCGUGUAGGCUGGUUUUCCAGGCAAAUCCGGAAAAUCAAGGCUGAGGCGUGAUGACGAGGCACUACGGUGCUGAAGCAACAAAUGCCCUGCUUCCAGGAAAAGCCUCUAAGCAUCAGGUAACAUCAAAUCGUACCCCAAACCGACACAGGUGGUCAGGUAGAGAAUACCAAGGCGCUUGAGAGAACUCGGGUGAAGGAACUAGGCAAAAUGGUGCCGUAACUUCGGGAGAAGGCACGCUGAUAUGUAGGUGAAGUCCCUUGCGGAUGGAGCUGAAAUCAGUCGAAGAUACCAGCUGGCUGCAACUGUUUAUUAAAAACACAGCACUGUGCAAACACGAAAGUGGACGUAUACGGUGUGACGCCUGCCCGGUGCCGGAAGGUUAAUUGAUGGGGUCAGCGCAAGCGAAGCUCUUGAUCGAAGCCCCGGUAAACGGCGGCCGUAACUAUAACGGUCCUAAGGUAGCGAAAUUCCUUGUCGGGUAAGUUCCGACCUGCACGAAUGGCGU
rnacentral:rRNA from 1 species